UUCUGCAGAGAAAGCAGAGAAGGCGGUGGGAAGGUUCAACGUGAGGUCAGCUCGGAAGCAGGUGGAAGAGACCCACGUUCGCCGGGGCAGGAGAGGGAGGCUCUGGCUCGCUCUCAGCUGGCUCUCUGCCCCCUGACUCUCUGCCUGUGACCGUGUAAAAAGUCCCCCUCCCCAGUCACACCCAAGGAGAUACUGAAUUACUGAUCUGGAAGGCAGUUUGGACGUCAGAAGUUUUAAAAUGCUAACGCACAGUCAAGCUGAAACCCCCUGUUCACAGGGCAGCAGGUCUGAGUGUGAAACGAGAAGAGGUUUCCGAGGGGAAAGGCUGUUGGUGUCCCCUCGACUGCCACGCAAAGACCUCAUGUCAGGAGACAGGUUUCGGCUCAAAGGCAAGAAGAAUGAAGGCUUUGAGCAGUCCGGAAAAUCAAAGUGGCUUAGCAGUAAAGAAGCUUUGACCAGGGGAGGUGACAAAGGAGAAGGUGGACAGCCACGGGCUGGGAAUGUCGAACAAGCGCAAGACCAUUUGCGGUGUGCACUCUUGCAAAAGUACGUUCACCUAGUCUGAUCAAGAAAGAAACAUCAAAUACCCCCCACUGAGGGACAUUCAAAGACACAUCUGACCAGUAAUCCUCCAAAUUGUGAAGGUCGUCAGAAACAAGGAAAGCCUGAGUACCUGUCAUAGCCAAAAGAAGCAUAAGUGGACGUGGAUACGAAACGCAGUGUGGUUAUCUUGGGUGGGAUCCUAGUACAGAAGAAAGACACUGGGGAACAAUUGAGCAAAGAAUGUACCCAUAUUGAUUCAUUGGUUGUGACAAAUGUACCAUACUUACGUAACAGGAUAACAAUAGGGAAACCUGGGUGUGGUGUAGAUGGGAAUUCUCUAUAAUAUUACUGUGCUAAUUACAAUAGUUCUGUAAAUCUAAAACUGCUCUAAGAUAAACAGAGCUUAUUAAAGCAGGGCAGGGAGCGGGUGGAGGGGGGGUGGGGGUGCUUCCUGGCUGUUACAAUGCAAACCAUUCCUGAUGGCAGAGGUAGAGUUGUUGUCUUUGAAAAGCACCAAGGAAAAAGAAAUAAUUUUUAGUUGAAUGAAUCCCUGUUCUUAAUAAAUUACGUAACAGA